rnacentral:rRNA from 1 species
GAUGAACGCUGGCGGCGUGCCUAAUACAUGCAAGUCGAGCGAACAGACGAGGAGCUUGCUCCUCUGACGUUAGCGGCGGACGGGUGAGUAACACGUGGAUAACCUACCUAUAAGACUGGGAUAACUUCGGGAAACCGGAGCUAAUACCGGAUAAUAUAUUGAACCGCAGGGUUCAAUAGUGAAAGACGGUUUUGCCGUCACUUAGAGAUGGAUCCGCGCCGCAUUAGCUAGUUGGUACGGUAACGGCUUACCAAGGCAACGAUGCGUAGCCGACCUGAGAGGGUGAUCUGCCACACUGGAACUGAGACACGGUCCAGACUCCUACGGGAGGCAGCAGUAGGGAAUCUUGCGAAAUGGGCGAAAGCCUGACGGAGCAGCGCCGCGUGAGUGAUGAAGGUCUUCGGAUCGGAAAACUCUGUUAUUAGGGAAGAACAAAUGUGUAAGUAACUAUGCACGUCGUGACGGUACCUACUCAGAAAGCCCCGGCUAACUACGUG